rnacentral:rRNA from 1 species
AGGCCUAACACAUGCAAGUCGAGCGGAUGAAGGGAGCUUGCUCCUGGAUUCAGCGGCGGACGGGUGAGUAAUGCCUAGGAAUCUGCCUGGUAGUGGGGGAUAACGUCCGGAAACGGGCGCUAAUACCGCAUACGUCCUGAGGGAGAAAGUGGGGGAUCUUCGGACCUCACGCUAUCAGAUGAGCCUAGGUCGGAUUAGCUAGUUGGUGGGGUAAAGGCCUACCAAGGCGACGAUCCGUAACUGGUCUGAGAGGAUGAUCAGUCACACUGGAACUGAGACACGGUCCAGACUCCUACGGGAGGCAGCAGUGGGGAAUAUUGGACAAUGGGCGAAAGCCUGAUCCAGCCAUGCCGCGUGUGUGAAGAAGGUCUUCGGAUUGUAAAGCACUUUAAGUUGGGAGGAAGGGCAGUAAGUUAAUACCUGCUG